rnacentral:rRNA from 1 species
UACAUGGGGUGCAAACGUUGCUCGGAAUUAUUGGGCGUAAAGCGCACGUAGGCGGUUUGUUAAGUCGGAUGUGAAAUCCCUCGGCUCAACUGAGGAAGUGCAUCCGAAACUGGCAAGCUUGAGUACGAAAGAGGAUCGCGGAAUUCCCGGUGUAGAGGUGAAAUUCGUAGAUGUCGGGAGGAACACCGGUGGCGAAGGCGGCGAUCUGGGUCGAUACUGACGCUGAGGUGCGAAAGCGUGGGGAGCAAACAGG